CUCAAGGAUGGGUCUGCGGCCUAUCAGGUAGUAGUGGGUGUAGCGUACCUACUAGCCUACGACGGGUACGGGUUGUGAGAGCAAGAGCCCGGAGAUGGAUUCUGAGACACGAAUCCAGGCCCUACGGGGUGCAGCAGGCGCGAAAACUUUACAAUGCUGGAAACAGCGAUAAGGGGACCUCGAGUGCCAGGUUACAAAUCUGGCUGUCGUGAUGCCUAAAAAGCAUUGCAUAGCAAGGGCCGGGCAAGACCGGUGCCAGCCGCCGCGGUAACACCGGCGGCUCGAGUGGUAACCGUUAUUAUUGGGUCUAAAGGGUCUGUAGCCGGCCGGAUAAGUCUCUUGGGAAAUCUGGCAGCUUAACUGUCAGGCUUUCAGGAGAUACUGUCUGGCUCGAGGCCGGGAGAGGUGAGAGGUACUUCAGGGGUAGGGGUGAAAUCUUGUAAUCCUUGAAGGACCACCAGUGGCGAAGGCGUCUCACCAGAACGGACCUGACGGCAAGGGACGAAAGCUAGGGGCACGAACCGGAUUAGAUACCCGGGUAGUCCUAGCCGUAAACGAUACUCGCUAGGUGUCGGCAACGGUGCGACCGUUGUCGGUGCCGUAGGGAAGCCGUGAAGCGAGCCACCUGGGAAGUACGGCCGCAAGGCUGAAACUUAAAGGAAUUGGCGGGGGAGCAC
rnacentral:rRNA from 1 species